CCUACGGGAGUCAGCAGUGGGGAAUAUUGCACAAUGGGGGAAACCCUGAUGCAGCGACGCCGCGUGAGUGAAGCAGUAUUUCGGUAUGUACAGCUCUAUCAGCAGGAACGAGACAAGACGGUACCUGCCUAAGAAGCACCUGCUAACUACGUGCCAGCAGCCGCGUUAAUACGUAGGGGGCAAGCGUUAUCCGGACGCACUGGGUUUCAAGGGAGCGUAGACGGCUGAGCAAGUCUGAAGUGAAAGGCGGGGGCCCAACCCCUGUACUGCUUUGGGCACUGUACGGCUGGAGUGCAGGAGAGGUAAGGGGAAUUCCUAGUGUAGCGGUGAAAUGCGUAGAUAUUAGGAGGAACACCAGUGGCGAAGGCGGCGUACUGGACUGUAACGGACGUUGAGGCUCGAAAGCGUGGGGAGCAAACAGGAUUAGAUACCCGGGUAGUC
rnacentral:rRNA from 1 species